AAAUCAUUACCCUGGAUGGUGGAUCAC
rnacentral:sRNA from 1 species